CAGUCGCCACGGUAACACGUAGGGUGCAAGCGUUAAUCGGAAUUACUGGGCGUAAAGCGUGCGCAGGCGGUUAUAUAAGACAGAUGUGAAAUCCCCGGGCUCAACCUGGGAACUGCAUUUGUGACUGUAUAGCUAGAGUACGGCAGAGGGGGAUGGAAUUCCGCGUGUAGCAGUGAAAUGCGUAGAUAUGCGGAGGAACACCGAUGGCGAAGGCAAUCCCCUGGGCCUGUACUGACGCUCAUGCACGAAAGCGUGGGGAGCAAACAGGAUUAGAUACCCCGGUAGUCCCUGUCUCUUAUAC
rnacentral:rRNA from 1 species